rnacentral:rRNA from 1 species
AUUGAACGCUGGCGGCAGGCCUAACACAUGCAAGUCGAGCGAGCGGCGGACGGGUGAGUAAUGUCUGGGGAUCUGCCUGAUGGCGGGGGAUAACUACUGGAAACGGUAGCUAAUACCGCAUACCAUCAGAUGUACCCAUAUGGGAUUAGCUUGUAGGUGAGGUAACGGCUCACCUAGGCGACGAUCCCUAGCUGGUCUGAGAGGAUGACCAGCCACACUGGGACUGAGACACGGCCCAGACUCCUACGGGAGGCAGCAGUGGGGAAUAUUGGACAAUGGGCGAAACCCUGAUCCAGCCAUCCCGCGUGUAUGAAGAAGGCCUUCGGGUUGUAAAGUACUUUUGGCAGAGAAGCGGUAUCUGCAGAAGAAGCACCGGCUAACUACGUGCCAGCAGCCGCGGUAAUUC